GCAAGUCGGACGGAGCUUAGAGAGCUUGCUUUUUAAGCUUAGUGGCGAACGGGUGAGUAACGCGUGAGUAACCUGCCCUAGAGUGGGGGACAACAGUUGGAAACGACUGCUAAUACCGCAUAAGCCCACGGUACCGCAUGGUACUGAGGGAAAAGGAUUUAUUCGCUUUAGGAUGGACUCGCGUCCAAUUAGCUAGUUGGUGAGGUAACGGCCCACCAAGGCGACGAUUGGUAGCCGGACUGAGAGGUUGAACGGCCACAUUGGGACUGAGACACGGCCCAGACUCCUACGGGAGGCAGCAGUGGGGGAUAUUGCACAAUGGGGGAAACCCUGAUGCAGCGACGCCGCGUGGAGGAAGAAGGUUUUCGGAUUGUAAACUCCUGUCGUUAGGGACGAUAAUGACGGUACCUAACAAGAAAGCACCGGCUAACUACGUGCCAGCAGCCGCGGUAAAACGUAGGGUGCAAGCGUUGUCCGGAAUUACUGGGUGUAAAGGGAGCGCAGGCGGGAAGACAAGUUGGAAGUGAAAACCAUGGGCUCAACCCAUGAAUUGCUUUCAAAACUGUCUUUCUUGAGUAGUGCAGAGGUAGAUGGAAUUCCCGGUGUAGCGGUGGAAUGCGUAGAUAUCGGGAGGAAC
rnacentral:rRNA from 1 species